GACGAACGUUGGCGGCGUGCUUAACACAUGCAAGUCGAACGGAAAGGCCCUGCUUUUGUGGGGUGCUCGAGUGGCGAACGGGUGAGUAACACGUGAGUAACCUGCCCUUGACUUUGGGAUAACUUCAGGAAACUGGGGCUAAUACCGGAUAGGAGCUCCUGCUGCAUGGUGGGGGUUGGAAAGUUUCGGCGGUUGGGGAUGGACUCGCGGCUUAUCAGCUUGUUGGUGGGGUAGUGGCUUACCAAGGCUUUGACGGGUAGCCGGCCUGAGAGGGUGACCGGCCACAUUGGGACUGAGAUACGGCCCAGACUCCUACGGGAGGCAGCAGUGGGGAAUAUUGCACAAUGGGCGGAAGCCUGAUGCAGCAACGCCGCGUGCGGGAUGACGGCCUUCGGGUUGUAAACCGCUUUCGCCUGUGACGAAGCGUGAGUGACGGUAAUGGGUAAAGAAGCACCGGCUAACUACGUGCCAGCAGCCGCGGUGAUACGUAGGGUGCGAGCGUUGUCCGGAUUUAUUGGGCGUAAAGGGCUCGUAGGUGGUUGAUCGCGUCGGAAGUGUAAUCUAGGGGCUUAACCCUGAGCGUGCUUUCGAUACGGGUUGACUUGAGGAAGGUAGGGGAGAAUGGAAUUCCUGGUGGAGCGGUGGAAUGCGCAGAUAUCAGGAGGAACACCAGUGGCGAAGGCGGUUCUCUGGGCCUUUCCUGACGCUGAGGAGCGAAAGCGUGGGGAGCGAACAGGCUUAGAUACCCUGGUAGUCCACGCUGUAAACGGUGGGUACUAGGUGUGGGGUCCAUUCCACGGGUUCCGUGCCGUAGCUAACGCUUUAAGUACCCCGCCUGGGGAGUACGGCAGCAAGGCUAAAACUCAAAGGAAUUGACGGGGCCCCGCACAAGCGGCGGAGCAUGCGGAUUAAUUCGAUGCAACGCGUAGAACCUUACCUGGGUUUGACAUGGAUCGGGAGUGCUCAGAGAUGGGUGUGCCUCUUUUGGGGUCGGUUCACAGGUGGUGCAUGCCUGUCGUCAGCUCGUGUCGUGAGAUGUUGGGUUAAGUCCCGCAACGAGCGCAACCCUUGUUCACUGUUGCCAGCACGUUAUGGUGGGGACUCAGUGGAGACCGCCGGGGUCAACUCGGAGGAAGGUGGGGAUGACGUCAAGUCCUCAUGCCCCUUAUGUCCAGGGCUUCACGCAUGCUACAAUGGCUGGUACAGAGAGUGGCGAGCCUGUGAGGGUGAGCGAAUCUCGGAAAGCCGGUCUCAGUUCGGAUUGGGGUUUGCAACUCGACCUCAUGAAGUCGGAGUCGCUAGUAAUCGCAGAUCAGCAACGCUGCGGUGAAUACGUUCCCGGGGCU
rnacentral:rRNA from 1 species